GCCAGCAUGGUGUAGUGGUUUGAGUGUUAGACUAGGGCUUUGGAGACCAGGAUUCAAAUCCCAGUUUGAGCC